AACGCGAAGAACCUUACCUGGACUUGACAUUGAUAGGAUCCUGUAGAGAUAUGGGAGUGCUAGCUUGCUAGAGCUUGAAAACAGGUGCUGCACGGCUGUCGUCAGCUCGUGUCGUGAGAUGUUGGGUUAAGUCCCGCAACGAGCGCAACCCACGUCGUUAGUUGCUAACAGUUAGGCUGAGAACUCUAACGAGACUGCCUUCGUAAGGAGGAGGAAGGUGUGGACGACGUCAAGUCAUCAUGGCCCUUACGUCCAGGGCUACACACGUGCUACAAUGGGAUAUACAAAGAGCAGCGAUACAGUGAUGUGGAGCAAAUCUCAUAAAAUAUCUCCCAGUUCGGAUUGUAGUCUGCAACUCGACUACAUGAAGUUGGAAUCGCUAGUAAUCGUAGAUCAGCAUUGCUACGGUGAAUACGUUCCCGGGUCUUGUACACACCG
rnacentral:rRNA from 1 species